CCUACGGGUGGCAGCAGUGGGGAAUAUUGCACAAUGGGGGCAACUCUGACGCAGCAACGCCGCGUGAGUGAUGAAGGUCUUCGGAUUGUAAAGUUCUUUUCUAAGGGAAGAAAAUAGUGACGGUACCUUAGGAAUAAGCCUCGGCUAACUACGUGCCAGCAGCCGCGGUAAGACGUAGGAGGCAAGCGUUCUCCGGAAUGACUGGGCGUAAGGGGUGCGAAGGUGGUUUGACAAGUUAGUAGCGAAACUCCGGGGCUCAACCUCGGAACUAUUACUGAAACUGUUGGACUUGAGUGCAGGAGGGGCAAUUGGAAUUCCUAGUGUAGCGGUGGAAUGCGUAGAUAUUAGGAGGAACACCAGUGGCGAAGGCGGAUUGCUAGACUGUAACUGACACUGAGGCACGAAAGCGUGGGGAGCAAACAGGAUUAGAUACCCUGGUAGUC
rnacentral:rRNA from 1 species